rnacentral:rRNA from 1 species
CAGUCGCCGCGGGAAUACGUAGGGUGCAAGCGUUAAUCGGAAUUACUGGGCGUAAAGCGUGCGCAGGCGGUUAUAUAAGACAGAUGUGAAAUCCCCGGGCUCAACCUGGGAACUGCAUUUGUGACUGUAUAGCUAGAGUACGGCAGAGGGGGAUGGAACUCCGCGUGUAGCAGUGAAAUGCGUGAUAUGCGGAGGAACACCGAUGGCGAAGGCAAUCCCCUGGGCCUGUACUGACGCUCAUGCACGAAAGCGUGGGGAGCAAACAGGAUUAGAUACCCGCGUAGUCCCUGUCUCUUAUACA